CCUACGGGAGGCAGCAGUGGGGAAUUUUACGCAAUGGGUGAAAGCCUGACGUAGCGACACCGCGUGAGCGAAGAAGCCCCUUGGGGUGUAAAGCUCUGUCAGCUGGAACGAAAAAAAUGACGGUACCAGCAGAGGAAGCAUCGGCUAACUACGUGCCAGCAGCCGCGGUAAU
rnacentral:rRNA from 1 species